GACGAACGCUGGCGGCGUGCUUAACACAUGCAAGUCGAACGGAAAGGCCCUGCUUUUGUGGGGUGCUCGAGUGGCGAACGGGUGAGUAACACGUGAGUAACCUGCCCUUGACUUUGGGAUAACUUCAGGAAACUGGGGCUAAUACCGGAUAGGAGCUCCUGCUGCAUGGUGGGGGUUGGAAAGUUUCGGCGGUUGGGGAUGGACUCGCGGCUUAUCAGCUUGUUGGUGGGGUAGUGGUUUACCAAGGCUUUGACGGGUAGCCGGCCUGGGAGGGUGACCGGCCACAUUGGGACUGGGAUACGGCCCAGACUCCUACGGGAGGCAGCAGUGGGGAAUAUUGCACAAUGGCGGAAGCCUGAUGCAGCAACGCCGCGUGCGGGAUGACGGCCUUCGGGUUGUAAACCGCUUUCGCCUGUGACGAAGCGUGAGUGACGGUAAUGGGUAAAGAAGCACCGGCUAACUACGUG
rnacentral:rRNA from 1 species